rnacentral:snoRNA from 1 species
CUUUUGUGAUGAAAAAAAUUUUUAUUCAGUUCUGCUUCUGCAAAAAGAUUGAAGAAAACCAUUACCAUACCAAAACUAUCUGAUCU